rnacentral:rRNA from 1 species
AGCAGUAGCCGCGGGAAUACGAAGGGUGCAAGCGUUACUCGGAAUUACUGGGCGUAAAGCGUGCGUAGGUGGUGGUUUAAGUCCGUUGUGAAAGCCCUGGGCUCAACCUGGGAAUUGCAGUGGAUACUGGAUCACUAGAGUGUGGUAGAGGAUAGUGGAAUUUCCGGUGUAGCAGUGAAAUGCGUAGAGAUCGGAAGGAACAUCUGUGGCGAAGGCGACUAUCUGGGCCAACACUGACACUGAGGCACGAAAGCGUGGGGAGCAAACAGGAUUAGAUACCCGUGUAGUCCCUGUCUCUUAUAA